rnacentral:tRNA from 1 species
GCCGGAGUGAUGGAACCAGGCAGACAUACUGGACUUAAAAUCCAGUGCUCAUAGAGCGUGUGGGUUCAAUUCCCACCUUCGGCA